rnacentral:sRNA from 1 species
UUUGCGUUAGGGAUAGCAGCGGCAUCCUUUUGCGAAACGAAGUGUAGCAAAAGAUAUAGCGGAUAGCCCGAUUCGCC